rnacentral:rRNA from 1 species
UUUACGGAGAGUUUGAUCCUGGCUCAGGACGAACGCUGGCGGCGUGCUUAACACAUGCAAGUCGAACGAUGAUGCCCAGCUUGCUGGGUGGAUUAGUGGCGAACGGGUGAGUAACACGUGAGUAACCUGCCCCUGACUCUGGGAUAAGCGUUGGAAACGACGUCUAAUACUGGAUAUGACUGCCGGCCGCAUGGUCUGGUGGUGGAAAGAUUUUUUGGUUGGGGAUGGACUCGCGGCCUAUCAGCUUGUUGGUGAGGUAAUGGCUCACCAAGGCGACGACGGGUAGCCGGCCUGAGAGGGUGACCGGCCACACUGGGACUGAGACACGGCCCAGACUCCUACGGGAGGCAGCAGUGGGGAAUAUUGCACAAUGGGCGAAAGCCUGAUGCAGCAACGCCGCGUGAGGGAUGACGGCCUUCGGGUUGUAAACCUCUUUUAGUAGGGAAGAAGGGAGCUUGCUCUUGACGGUACCUGCAGAAAAAGCACCGGCUAACUACGUGCCAGCAGCCGCGGUAAUACGUAGGGUGCAAGCGUUGUCCGGAAUUAUUGGGCGUAAAGAGCUCGUAGGCGGUUUGUCGCGUCUGCUGUGAAAUCCCGAGGCUCAACCUCGGGCUUGCAGUGGGUACGGGCAGACUAGAGUGCGGUAGGGGAGAUUGGAAUUCCUGGUGUAGCGGUGGAAUGCGCAGAUAUCAGGAGGAACACCGAUGGCGAAGGCAGAUCUCUGGGCCGUAACUGACGCUGAGGAGCGAAAGCAUGGGGAGCGAACAGGAUUAGAUACCCUGGUAGUCCAUGCCGUAAACGUUGGGCGCUAGAUGUAGGGACCUUUCCACGGUUUCUGUGUCGUAGCUAACGCAUUAAGCGCCCCGCCUGGGGAGUACGGCCGCAAGGCUAAAACUCAAAGGAAUUGACGGGGGCCCGCACAAGCGGCGGAGCAUGCGGAUUAAUUCGAUGCAACGCGAAGAACCUUACCAAGGCUUGACAUACACCGGAAACGGCCAGAGAUGGUCGCCCCCUUGUGGUCGGUGUACAGGUGGUGCAUGGUUGUCGUCAGCUCGUGUCGUGAGAUGUUGGGUUAAGUCCCGCAACGAGCGCAACCCUCGUUCUAUGUUGCCAGCGCGUUAUGGCGGGGACUCAUAGGAGACUGCCGGGGUCAACUCGGAGGAAGGUGGGGAUGACGUCAAAUCAUCAUGCCCCUUAUGUCUUGGGCUUCACGCAUGCUACAAUGGCCGGUACAAAGGGCUGCGAUACCGUAAGGUGGAGCGAAUCCCAAAAAGCCGGUCUCAGUUCGGAUUGAGGUCUGCAACUCGACCUCAUGAAGUCGGAGUCGCUAGUAAUCGCAGAUCAGCAACGCUGCGGUGAAUACGUUCCCGGGCCUUGUACACACCGCCCGUCAAGUCAUGAAAGUCGGUAACACCCGAAGCCGGUGGCCUAACCCUUGUGGAAGGAGCCGUCGAAGGUGGGAUCGGUGAUUAGGACUAAGUCGUAACAAGGUAGCCGUACCGGAAGGUGCGGCUGGAUCACCUCCUUU